GACCCCAUCGGCUAGAGGAAAAGGCCACUGCAACUUCACUGCGGAAACACCGGUUCGAAUCCGGUUGAGGUCA